rnacentral:misc_RNA from 1 species
AACGCACAUUGCGCCCGCCGGUUAAUCCGGCGGGCAUGCCUGUCCGAGCGUCAUUUCAACCCUCAAGCCCCCUCGGGGGAUUGGUGCUGGGGAUCGGCCGUCACGGGCCGGCCCCGAAAUCGAGUGGCGGUCUCGCCGUCGCCUCCUCUGCGUAGUAGAAACACCUCGCACUGGGACGCGGCGCGGCCAUGCCGUUAAACCCCCGACUUCUGAAAGGUUGACCUCGGAUCAGGUAGGAAUACCCGCUGAACUUAA